rfam:Camelus ferus unplaced genomic scaffold scaffold765, whole genome shotgun sequence.
GAGGGUAUAGCGCAAGUGGUAGAGCACAUGCUUAGCAUGCACAAGGUCCUGGGUGCAAUCCCCAGUACCUCCU